GACGAACGCUGGCGGCGUGCUUAACACAUGCAAGUCGAGCGGUAAGGCCCUUUCGGGGGUACACGAGCGGCGAACGGGUGAGUAACACGUGGGUGACCUGCCCUCAGCUCUGGGAUAACGCCCGGGAACUGGGUCUAAUACUGGAUAUGACUCCAUGACGCAUGUUGGUGGGGUGGAAAGCCUUGUGCGGCUGAGGAUGGGCCCGCGGCCUAUCAGCUUGUUGGGUGGGGNGAUGGCCUACCAAGGCGACGACGGGUAGCCGGCCUGAGAGGGCGACCGGCCACACUGGGACUGAGACACGGCCCAGACUCCUACGGGAGGCAGCAGUGGGGAAUCUUGCGCAAUGGGCGAAAGCCUGACGCAGCGACGCCGCGUGAGGAUGACGGCCU
rnacentral:rRNA from 1 species